AUUGAACGCUGGCGGCAUGCCUUACACAUGCAAGUCGAACGCGAAAGGGGGCAACCCCGAGUAGAGUGGCGAACGGGUGAGCAAUACAUCGGAACACGUCCUGUAGCGGGGGACAACCUCGAGAAAUCGAGGCUAAUACCGCAUACGAUCUACGGAUGAAAGUGGGGGACCGCAAGGCCCCACACUAUAGGAGUGGCCGAUGCCGGAUUAGCUAGUUGGCGGGGUAAUAGCCCACCAAGGCUACGAUCCGUAGCUGGUUUGAGAGAACGACCAGCCACACUGGGACUGAGACACGGCCCAGACUCCUACGGGAGGCAGCAGUGGGGAAUUUUGGACAAUGGGCGAAAGCCUGAUCCAGCCAUGCCGCGUGAGUGAAAAAGGCCUUCGGGUUGUAAAGCUCUUUCAGACGGAAAGAAAUUGCGCAGGUAAAUAAUCUGUGUAGAUGACGGUACCGUAAGAAGAAGCACCGGCUAACUACGUGCCAGCAGCCGCGGUAA
rnacentral:rRNA from 1 species